rnacentral:rRNA from 1 species
GAUGAACGCUAGCGGCAGGCCUAAUACAUGCAAGUCGGACGGGAUUUGGGAGCUUGCUCCUAAUGAGAGUGGCGCACGGGUGCGUAACACGUAUGUAACCUACCUUAAUCAGGGGGAUAGCCUCUCGAAAGAGAGAUUAACACCGCAUAACAUAUUUUUAUGGCAUCGUAGAAAUAUCAAAUAUUUAUAGGAUUAAGAUGGGCAUGCGGAACAUUAGCUAGUUGGUAAGGUAACGGCUUACCAAGGCUACGAUGUUUAGGGGAUCUGAGAGGAUGACCCCCCACACUGGUACUGAGACACGGACCAGACUCCUACGGGAGGCAGCAGUAAGGAAUAUUGGUCAAUGGGCGCAAGCCUGAACCAGCCAUGCCGCGUGCAGGAAGACGGCCCUAUGGGUUGUAAACUGCUUUUGUACCGGAAUAAACCCUUUUACGUGUAAAAGGCUGAAUGUACGGUAAGAAUAAGGAUCGGCUAACUCCGUGCCAGCAGCCGCCGUAA